ensembl:lncRNA
CUUAGAUAAACAAAUUCAAUCUAGAGAAGGAGGUUUAAAAAAAACUCUUUUAGUUAAGUUGUCCACAUUUUGUACCACAAGAUGGCGGUAAUGCACUAGUUUGUUUCUGUUCCGAAGAAGAGGAGGAAUUCCUGUUAGUAAAGCCAGUAGAACCUGUUCUAAGACGUCACAUGCAGCAGUUUUUAAUCAAAUAAAUGGAGCUAAAAGUUUAGACAAUUGUCCAAAAGAAUUGCCGUUGGUGUAUUUCCUGCUUUAUCGACCCUUUUCCUCGAUUUGUAAGAUCUUUUGUCUUUUCUUGGCAGCCUCAGUGUGGAUCAUCAGCUGACCGUUGGGCUGUCUGAGGUGGAACAGCUUCCUUCCCUUCUUCACCCACUGCAGCAGGAAUGACCUGAAGGAUGUCUUGGUGAUGGAAGACCUGCACCACGUCCACCUGCAGCAUCCAGACAUGAAGUCCAUCUUAUUGAACGUCACCCAAAGCUGCAGGCUGAAGGCUGCUGUCAAUCCAGGAAGCCCAACGAAGCCCACAGCGACGUAAACCAAGAACCUGAAACAUGAACAGACUUGAGAACAGCUCACUGUCCAGUUUAUGGUCCUGCUAUUUAAACUGUCUCACACAUGAUGAAUGGUGGCUCCUGGUCUUUACCUUCUUAUCGACUGCUUCAGUUACUUUUUCCAGCUCUGCAUGACAGCCAACCUACAUUCUGUUUCUCUGUCUUCACUGUGAAUGUAAAGGCAGCUUUUAUUCCUUCACUCAGUUUACAGGCUGCAGCCGUAUAUGAAAUAUUGUUUUAAUAUUGUGGUUUCUCAUGUUUACAAUCUCUGUAUCAUCUAUCAAUCAACUGUAACUUUUUUACUAAAAAAUAUGCUGUACUUGAAAUUUAGCCCUUUUUUCAUGAUGUAGACUUAUGUUGUGACAGUAUUUACUCUCUACUGUAAGUUGUGCACUACAUUAUUAAUUAUUUUAUACUUCUGUCCUGUUCAAAUUUGUUUAAAUUAAUGCAGUUUCUAAACUGCAAUGAAGGUAUGAAUUAUCAUAUGUAAUAAAUGUGACCAAGAGCAGCAUGUAAAGUAUUAUAAUUAAGAUAAUCUUAAUGCAAUGAGAUGAUUAUACAGUACUACACUGAAGCCGUUGCUAGAACUUAGAAUUCAUUUAUAAGGCUAUUUAAUGUUAGAUUUAAUCGACAUUGUAUACUGGAAGGAUUUAAUGUUGUUUUUGCACACUCAUAAUAAAGG